ACGAGUGGCGGACGGGUGAGUAAUGUCUGGGAAACUGCCUGAUGGAGGGGGAUAACUACUGGAAACGGUAGCUAAUACCGCAUAACGUCGCAAGACCAAAGAGGGGGACCUUCGGGCCUCUUGCCAUCGGAUGUGCCCAGAUGGGAUUAGCUAGUAGGUGGGGUAACGGCUCACCUAGGCGACGAUCCCUAGCUGGUCUGAGAGGAUGACCAGCCACACUGGAACUGAGACACGGUCCAGACUCCUACGGGAGGCAGCAGUGGGGAAUAUUGCACAAUGGGCGCAAGCCUGAUGCAGCCAUGCCGCGUGUAUGAAGAAGGCCUUCGGGUUGUAAAGUACUUUCAGCGGGGAGGAAGGGAGUAAAGUUAAUACCUUUGCUCAUUGACGUUACCCGCAGAAGAAGCACCGGCUAACUCCGUGCCAGCAGCCGCGGUAAUACGGAGGGUGCAAGCGUUAAUCGGAAUUACUGGGCGUAAAGCGCACGCAGGCGGUUUGUUAAGUCAGAUGUGAAAUCCCCGGGCUCAACCUGGGAACUGCAUCUGAUACUGGCAAGCUUGAGUCUCGUAGAGGGGGGUAGAAUUCCAGGUGUAGCGGUGAAAU
rnacentral:rRNA from 1 species